rnacentral:rRNA from 1 species
AUGUCGGCUCAUCACAUCCUGGGGCUGAAGCAGGUCCCAAGGGUACGGCUGUUCGCCGUUUAAAGUGGUACGCGAGCUGGGUUUAAAACGUCGUGAGACAGUUUGGUCCCUAUCUGCUGCGGGCGUAGGAUAUUUGAGAGGGCCUGUCCCUAGUACGAGAGGACCGGGAUGGACGAACCACUGGUGGACCUGUUGUCGUGCCAACGGCACAGCAGGGUAGCCACGUUCGGAAGGGAUAACCGCUGAAAGCAUCUAAGCGGGAAGCCUGCCUCAAGAUAAGAUAUCCUUGCGCAAGUGAAAGGCCCCUUGUAGACCACAAGGUAGAUAGGCCGGGAGUGCAAGCGCGGUGACGCGUUAAGCUUACCGGUACUAACAGGCCGAAAACUUGAACUU